rnacentral:rRNA from 1 species
UUUCCGUAGGUGAACCUGCGGAAGGAUCAUUACCGAGUGAGGGCCCUCUGGGUCCAACCUCCCACCCGUGUUUAUCGUACCUUGUUGCUUCGGCGGGCCCGCCUCACGGCCGCCGGGGGGCAUCCGCCCCCGGGCCCGCGCCCGCCGAAGACACACAAACGAACUCUUGUCUGAAGAUUGCAGUCUGAGUACUUGACUAAAUCAGUUGAAACUUUCAACAACGGAUCUCUUGGUUCCGGCAUCGAUGAAGAACGCAGCGAAAUGCGAUAAGUAAUGUGAAUUGCAGAAUUCAGUGAAUCAUCGAGUCUUUGAACGCACAUUGCGCCCCCUGGUAUUCCGGGGGGCAUGCCUGUCCGAGCGUCAUUGCUGCCCUCAAGCACGGCUUGUGUGUUGGGCUCUCGCCCCCCGCUUCCGGGGGGCGGGCCCGAAAGGCAGCGGCGGCACCGCGUCCGGUCCUCGAGCGUAUGGGGCUUCGUCACCCGCUCUGUAGGCCCGGCCGGCGCCCGCCGGCGAACACCAUCAAUCUUAACCAGGUUGACCUCGGAUCAGGUAGGGAUACCCGCUGAACUUAAGCAUAUCAAUAAGCGGAGGA